rnacentral:rRNA from 1 species
UACGUAGGGUGCAAGCGUUGUCCGGAAUUAUUGGGCGUAAAGAGCUCGUAGGCGGUUUGUCGCGUCUGCUGUGAAAUCCCGAGGCUCAACCUCGGGCUUGCAGUGGGUACGGGCAGACUAGAGUGCGGUAGGGGAGACUGGAAUUCCUGGUGUAGCGGUGGAAUGCGCAGAUAUCAGGAGGAACACCGAUGGCGAAGGCAGGUCUCUGGGCCGCAACUGACGCUGAGGAGCGAAAGCAUGGGGAGCGAACAGG